CACGUAGGCACCAAGCGUUGUCCGGAUUUAUUGGGCGUAAAGAGCUCGUAGGCGGUUCAGUAAGUCAGGUGUGAAAUCUUUGGGCUUAACCCAAAGCGUGCACUUGAUACUGCUGUGACUUGAGUUCGGUAGGGGAGUGGGGAAUUCCUAGUGUAGCGGUAAAAUGCGCAGAUAUUAGGAGGAACACCGGUGGCGAAGGCGCCACUCUGGGCCGAAACUGACGCUGAGGAGCGAAAGCGUGGGUAGCAAACAGG
rnacentral:rRNA from 1 species